CUACUAUUGGAUUUGAACCAAUGACUCUGCCGUAUGAAGCUAAUAAUAACCACUGAGUUAAGUAGGU
rnacentral:tRNA from 1 species